AAAUGUCACAUUUGAGUUUCACCAUGAAGAUUCGAAAUAGGCUUAAUUCAUUCAGUGAUAAAUUUAGUCACCAACUAGUCGAAUAGCCCAUGACUAAUU